AGUUGUUCUUACGAAAACAAAAAAGAAAAAUCAACCUCCAUCGUAUAGACGACCGACAGGAAUUCAUAUAUCUGAGGGUCGGUUUGCUGACGCGACAGCACGACCCUUAUAUUCUAGGUCGUCUCAGCAGUCGGUUCCUACUUCUAUGCAUGUGGGGCCACUUCAUGGGUCUACACCGACUUAUUAUUCUCCUAUCACUGUGCUUCCGCCAUCGCAGUACUAUUGGACGAUCGCUGGCCCAUCCGGAACUACCAUCAUUAGUACCCUCCUGUAACAGUCACGCAGCUUCGCACAAUGGUUUUGCAAGAUCUAUUGGGUUGUUGGAUCUUCAGCUUGGAGGCACUCCAUCUGAUGCUUUAGAUCCGCCCACGCUAGUGCAUCCACCAUCACUUACUCCGCAACCAGGCGACAGAGAUGAUUUGAGAGGCGCUAUCUUACUCCAUAUGCGACAAGUAGGUUUAGGUCGGAUGCUAGAGUUGGACAAACUGUGAGAAAAUGCAUUUCAGCUACUGGACCAGUUGGCAAAAGGUUCCAGAAAUUGACAGGGAAAGAAUGGUUUAAGAAUUUAAUAAAUUUUACUGGUGGGAUGAUGCGAAUGUAUGUUUUAUAAAAAGGAACUUUUUCAGAAGAUGUAGAUCCAGAUUUAACGGUCUGUUGAAUUAUGUUCGAACCAACAUGGUACGACCUGACUGAAUUAGUGAACCCUUAUGGCAAUAGUAUAUUCGCUAUUGGAAUAGCGAAGAAUACCAAUUACUGAGGGACAAAGGAAAGAAAGCUCGGGUAUUAUCUAGGGGUGGCUCCCUACAUACUGCGGGUGCCAAAAGUAUAAAAACUGUAGAGGAAAAAAUGGAAAAAAAAAGGGUAGGAGAAUACCACAAGGUGAGCUGUACCAGGAGACUUAUUUGAAAAAGAAAAAGAAUCCGACUGAUGAAGAUGCCUGGGUUGAACCUCGUGCAAAAGCUGCCCAUAGAGAGAGGACGCAAAAGGAGGAGGAAACAUCAUCAUAAAUCAGGAUGUUGCAGGAGCAGUUCAACUCUUUAAUUCAGACUGCAGGGAUUAUUCCUCCGUGUCCUGGUGAUGCAAUUUGGACUGCAAAAGGUCUACGCCCCCUAGAUGAUAUCAGCACAGAUGAGGAUGCGGAAAACGAGGACGAAUUCGAUGAAGAUGAGUUUUAAUUUUUUGACUUUUGUAUAUAUUGUACUUUGAAUUUAGAUAUUUUGUUGUAGUUUGUACACUUUUGAAACUAUUGUUGUAGUUUUUACACUUUUAUUUUUGUUGGACAUUUUGUAUGUGUUGUACACUUUUGAAAGUAUUUACAUCUGGUUUGUUGUUGUA